rnacentral:rRNA from 1 species
AACGCUAGCUACAGGCUUAACACAUGCAAGUCGAGGGGAAACGACAUCGAAAGCUUGCUUUUGAUGGGCGUCGACCGGCGCACGGGUGAGUAACGCGUAUCCAACCUGCCCACCACUUGGGGAUAACCUUGCGAAAGUAAGACUAAUACCCAAUGAUAUCCCACGAAGGCAUCCGAAUGGGAUUAAAGAUUUAUCGGUGAUGGAUGGGGAUGCGUCUGAUUAGCUUGUUGGCGGGGUAACGGCCCACCAAGGCUACGAUCAGUAGGGGUUCUGAGAGGAAGGUCCCCCACAUUGGAACUGAGACACGGUCCAAACUCCUACGGGAGGCAGCAGUGAGGAAUAUUGGUCAAUGGGCGAGAGCCUGAACCAGCCAAGUAGCGUGCAGGAUGACGGCCCUAUGGGUUGUAAACUGCUUUUAUAAGGGAAUAAAGUGAGUCUCGUGAGACUUUUUGCAUGUACCUUAUGAAUAAGGACCGGCUAAUUCCGUGCCAGCAGCCGCGGUAAUACGGAAGGUCCGGGCGUUAUCCGGAUUUAUUGGGUUUAAAGGGAGCGUAGGCCGGAGAUUAAGCGUGUUGUGAAAUGUAGUGGCUCAACCUCUGCACUGCAGCGCGAACUGGUCUUCUUGAGUACGCACAACGUGGGCGGAAUUCGUGGUGUAGCGGUGAAAUGCUUAGAUAUCACGAAGAACUCCGAUUG